GCCGUGGACCGUGACGCGGCGAGGGACCUUGAUGUAAUCGAUGGCUUGGAUUUGGAUAGACUGACUUCCUCCUACUCGCACCCGUCAUCCCCAACGUUUUGCUAGAGAGAUGAUGAUCAUCGUAGGUUCUCCUGAUUCUUUUGCUGCUGCUGCUGCUGCUGCUGCUUUGCCCGGCUCAUCAUCGUAUAUGUUGUAUAUGUGUGAUUUGUCUAUAUUUAAUUAUCGUAGUUUACGUACAUAUAUACAUGAUUCCGUGUUGUUGGCUUGUUGCCUGCGAUCGAGUGGGAAUUAUAUAUAAAAGCGAGAUCACAGGUGAU
rnacentral:lncRNA from 1 species